ACGUUAGCUCAGUGGUAGAGCGUUCGAUUGCAGUUCGAAUGGUCACUCGUUCGAUC
rnacentral:tRNA from 1 species